rnacentral:lncRNA from 1 species
CCAGGGUUUUAAACCUUCGAGGAGGACUUUUGGAGGAUGAAGUGAAAUAAACAGCCAUGUUGCUCACACAAAGCCUGUUUGGUGGUCUCUUCACACGGACGCGCAUGAAACCAACUUUUAAACCAAGGAUACCUGGCCAGUUCCAAGCCACCAUUGCAAAAUCCUCUCCUCUCCUGGCCUCUCAUUCUCCCCAAGUGCUCUUCUCUCUGAGUCCCUUUUUCUGAAUCACGUGAGUGAUAGUUUGAUGCCAUCCAAAUCUUAUUAGGUCUUAAUUUAUGAUGAAGACAACUCAGGGCUAUCUGGCCAGUCCCAGGGUUUUAAACCUUCGAGGAGGACUUUUGGAGGAUGAAAACAGCUUUUGGUACCUUUGCAGUUGGGAAAAUUAGUGUUUUGAGAAGGAGGCUGCAUCCUUCCUACUUCGUAUGGUGAACUUGGGCACAGAAGGCAGAGUCACAGAGCUUGGAGAAUGCAAUUUUAAAAAAUUCAUGCAAGGGGUGGGGCUUGGGGAGAGAAGGGAAAUGUCACCAGUACUCCUACAUACACUGUUGGAGGAAAGAUAUAAGUACCAUUUACUUGGCACCUGUUACUGACUGGGAACUAUACCAGCCACUCUAAUAGGCUAGUUUUAACAUGUAGGUUUUACCAUUAUCCAGGUAUGGUGAGGCACAGGUCAGAAGAUGACUGCCAUUGGAAAGAUGGUUUGUCACUCACAGUUCCCAGGAGGAGGGGCAUGUCACACCAUGGGAGCCCACAUGGGGAGUCAGGAGGCAAAUGGAGUGAAGAGUAAGCACGGCCACAGCCUCUAUUGUGGCUUCCGUGGAAGGAAUGGGGGAACCAGGGUGAGCAGGCUUAGGAUCUGCUAGUGUGAAUAAUUUCAGCAGGCUCUGGGGCAUGGACGUGGCACCUAGUUGUUAUCUGGACCUGGGGUGAUUAGGGCAGGGGAGGUGGCCCUGAAUGGGAGAGAUUAUGGAGAUGGUUGGGGAAAGGGCUCUGGAUCGGUUGGUUCCAUAUAA